ACGUAGGGGGCGAGCGUUAUCCGGAUUUAUUGGGUGUAAAGGGUGUGUAGGCGGUUUGUUAAGUUUAAGAUUAAAGCCUGGGGCUCAACCCCAGUUCGUCUUAAAAACUGGCAGACUUGAGUAUGGUAGAGGCAAGUGGAAUUUCUAGUGUAGCGGUUAAAUGCGUAGAUAUUAGAAGGAACACCAGUGGCGAAGGCGGCUUGCUGGGCCAUUACUGACGCUGAGACACGAAAGCGUGGGGAGCAAAUAG
rnacentral:rRNA from 1 species